rnacentral:rRNA from 1 species
CCUACGGGCGGCUGCAGUGAGGAAUAUUGGUCAAUGGCCGCAGGGCUGAACCAGCCAAGUCGCGUGAGGGAUGACGGUCCUAUGGAUUUUAAACCUCUUUUGUCAGGGAGCAAAGGGCGCCACUAGUGGCGUUUUGCGAGUCCCUGAAGAACAAGCAUCGGCUCACUCCGUUCCAGCAGCCGCGGUCAUACGGGGGAUGCGAGCGUUAUCCGGAUUUAUUGGGUUUACAGGGUGCGCAGGCGGAAGAUCAAGUCAGAGGUAAAAUGGAGAGGCUCAACCUCUUCGAGCCGUUGAAACUGGUUUUCUUGAGUGAGCGAGAAGUAUGCGGAAUGCGUGGUGUAGCGGUGAAAUGCAUAGAUAUCACGCAGAACUCCGAUUGCGAAGGCAGCAUACCGGCGCUCAACUGACGCUGAUGCACGAAAGUGUGGGUAGCGAACAGGAUUAGAUACCCCAGUAGUC